UCAGUUUAUGAUGGAGAGCUCGUUUCUGAUAUACUGCUCCGAUUUGAUCUCUGAAGCACUGGAAUCAAUUGGCAUAUACAAAUAAAAGCUAAUUACAAAUUUAGAAGAAACUUGAUAAAAUUGAAAUUUAAGAACUCUGUAUAGAUAACUUCUAGACAGAACGGAAACUGUCAGUCCUGCUUGCAGGAUAUCUAUGCGACUAACCCAACCAGCUGGAGUCAAUUUGAAUGGCAGAUAAAUAAAGAAGCUAAAAGUAGACGCUGACAUGACGUCAAUUCCAGGCACUUGGCUGUUAAUUAGAAGCUCAUUUUCAAUUAAUCAAAACGCCAAAAGAAGCGCCAAUAACAUGCCUUACAACAGUUAACGACAUCGCGUGUGCUGUCCUCCAAAAUUGUUGCAGCCCAUCUAGGGCAGGGGCACGCCCCUGUCGCCUCCUUAGUCGAGCAAUGUCAACGCCAAUUGAUUGCCACAGGACAUUAAUAAUUCAGAAGGAUCGCUGAGCGGUUGAUUUGAAUUGGAGUCGAAUGUGGCGCAUCUCAUUUUAUUCGUGUUAGCCGCUCACUGAAUAAUUCGAGACCCGCUGCGAAAAUUGCUCGGGGACCGGCAAGUGGAGCAUCAUCAACAGCCUAUCCACUUGGCAUUAACGGCGCUUAGCUGCGGCAGCUGCCACAGGUAGCGCACACCUAUAAACAUUAACUUGUCAAUAAAGCUGCUGCGCAUUUGACAUUCCACACUCAACUUUUCGGCUGACGGCUGCUCCAUCGAUGAACAAUAAAAUAUUCCUCUGAUGGGCAAUAAAAAGCUUAUUGCUUAUCGUUGGCUCUGCUGACAAAAACGCGACGAUUUCGUGGAAUUUAAGGGAUAUUCCAUUUUACAGUAGAUGGGACAAUAGAAGCCCGCUUGUAAAUACAGUUACAACUUGACAAAAGGGAGGACAGAAGGAAAAAAACUGGAAAAGACCAGACAAGCUUUAUCUUGGGCAACGCCGAAUAAUACCCGCGAAGUGUAGAUACAUGAAAUAAGAACUAAAUAUUCAA